rnacentral:lncRNA from 1 species
AGUGUGAAUACAGUAUAAAAAUAUUCCAUAAUUUAUAUUAUUUAUAUAUCAUCAUUCAUCAUUAAUAGAAAAUUCUAGAUACCUUUCUGUAUCUCACUCCCUUAAAAUUGAAUCUUUCAAGACAUAGCAGAUUAGCAAUGACCAAGACACCCAAAUGCAGCCAUAAUUUCAAUUUCCAAUUGAAGAAACUGCACACAAAAAAGGGUUACGUGAAUAAGAAAUUGAAAUUUUGAAUCCCGAAUUUCAGAUAAAAUUGUAGCACAAAAUAGGAAUAAUCUCCUUACAAUUCAAAGUGUAUUGCUGUGUUCGGUGUCUUGUUUUGCCGUUUGUAGUGGUAGAGUCUCCGACGGAGGGAGUCAAAUGGUUGGCAGCGACG